GUGGGGAAUAUUGGGCAAUGGGCGAAAGCCUGACCCAGCAACGCCGCGUGAGGGAAGAAGGCCUUCGGGUUGUAAACCUCUGUCCUUGGUGACGAAAAAAAUGACGGUAGCCAAGGAGGAAGCCCCGGCUAACUACGUGCCAGCAGCCGCGGUAAUACGUAGGGGGCGAGCGUUGUCCGGAAUUACUGGGCGUAAAGGGUGCGUAGGUGGCCUUUUAAGUUGGAUGUGAAAUACCCGGGCUUAACUUGGGGGGUGCAUCUAAUACUGGAGGGCUAGAGUGCAGGAGAGGGAAGCGGAAUUCCUAGUGUAGCGGUGAAAUGCGUAGAUAUGAGGAGGAACACCAGUGGCGAAGGCGGCUUUCUGGACUGUAACUGACACUGAGGCACGAAAGCGUGGGGAGCAAACAGGAUUAGAAACCCUGGUAGUCC
rnacentral:rRNA from 1 species